GGCUUGGGUCUUACGCGACGGAAAUCUGUGAAUCGUGUCAGGUCGGGAACGAAGCAGCACUAAGCAGAAUCUUCCGGGUGCCGUGAGGGUGCCUGGGCUGAGU
rnacentral:SRP_RNA from 1 species